UACGGAGUAUCCAAGCGUUAUCCGGAAUCACUGGUCUUAAAGGGUCCGUAGGCGGGAUACUAAGUCAGUGGUGAAAGUCUGCAGCUCAACUGUAGAAUUGCCAUUGAUACUGUUGUCCUUGAGUUAUUGUGAAGUGGUUAGAAUAUGUAGUGUAGCGGUGAAAUGCAUAGAUAUUACAUAGAAUACCGAUUGCGAAGGCAGAUCACUAAUAAUUCACUGACGCUGAGGGACGAAAGCGUAGGUAGCGAACAGG
rnacentral:misc_RNA from 1 species